rnacentral:rRNA from 1 species
GACGAACGCUGGCGGCGUGCUUAACACAUGCAAGUCGAACGGAAAGGCCCUGCUUUUGUGGGGUGCUCGAGUGGCGAACGGGUGAGUAACACGUGAGUAACCUGCCCUUGACUUUGGGAUAACUUCAGGAAACUGGGGCUAAUACCGGAUAGGAGCUCCUGCUGCAUGGUGGGGGUUGGAAAGUUUCGGCGGUUGGGGAUGGACUCGCGGCUUAUCAGCUUGUUGGUGGGGUAGUGGCUUACCAAGGCUUUGACGGGUAGCCGGCCUGAGAGGGUGAACGGCCACAUUGGGACUGAGAUACGGACCAGACGCCUACGGGAGGCAGCAGUGGGGAAUAUUGCACAAUGGGCGGAAGCCUGAUGCAGCAGCGCCGCGUGCGGGAUGACGGCCUUCGGGUUGUAAACCGCUUUCGCCUGUGACGAAGCGUGAGUGACGGUAAUGGGUAAAGAAGCACCGGCUAACUACGUG